GUCGGGUAUGGUGGUGCACACCUGUAAUCCCAGCGGCUCAGGAGGCUGAGGCAGGAGGAUCACGGGUUCAAAGCCAGCCUCAGCAAAAAUGAGGCGCUAAGCAACUCAGUGACACCAUGUCUCUA
rnacentral:sRNA from 1 species